rnacentral:tRNA from 2 species
GGAGAGGUGCCGGAGUGGUCGAACGGGGCGGUCUCGAAAACCGUUGAGCCCGAGAGGGUUCCCAGGGUUCGAAUCCCUGUCUCUCCGCCA